AGAACGAACGCUGGCGGCAUGCCUAAUACAUGCAAGUCGAACGAACACUUCGGUGUUAGUGGCGCACGGGUGCGUAACGCGUGGGAAUCUGCCCUUGGGUUCGGAAUAACAGUUGGAAACGACUGCUAAUACCGGAUGAUAUCGAAAGAUACAAAGAUUUAUCGACCCGAGGGAUGAGCCCGCGUAGGAUUAGCUAGUUGGUGAGGUAAAGCUCACCAAGGCGACGAUCCUUAGCUGGUCUGAGAGGAUGAUCAGCCACACGUGGGACUGACGACGACGGCCCAGACCUCCGACGGGAGCAGCGAGUAGGAAUAUGGA
rnacentral:rRNA from 1 species